GGGGAUUUAGCUCAGCGGUAGAGCGUUUGCCUAGCAAGCCCAAGACCCUGGGUUCGGUACCCAGCUCCG
rnacentral:tRNA from 1 species